GAUGAACGUUGGCGGCAUGGAUUAGGCAUGCAAGUCGUGCGCGAAACGUAGCAAUACGUAGAGAGCGGCGAAAGGGAGAGGAAUACGUGGGAACCUACCUCGGGGCCUGGAAUAGCGGCGGGAAACUGCCGGUAAUGCCAGAUAACGUCUCCGGACCAAAGGUGUGAUUCCGCCUGGAGAUGGGCCCACGUCCUAUCGGCUAGUUGGUGUGGUAACGGCGCACCAAGGCUAAGACGGGUAUGGGGUGUGAGAGCAUGCCCCCACUCCCUGGGACUGAGACACUGCCCAGACACCUACGGGUGGCUGCAGUCGAGAAUCUUCGGCAAUGAGCGCAAGCUUGACCGAGCGAUGCCGCGUGCGGGAUGAAGGCCCUCGGGUUGUAAACCGCUGUCGUAGGGGAGUAAUGGUCAGAGGGUACUCUCUCUGAUUUGAACAAUCCUAGGAGGAAGGACGGGCUAAGUUCGUGCCAGCCGCCGCCGUAA
rnacentral:rRNA from 1 species